rnacentral:rRNA from 1 species
CCCGCACAAGCGGUGGAGUAUGUGGUUUAAUUCGAUGCAACGCGAAGAACCUUACCUGGUCUUGACAUCCCGGAGACCCUUAGGAAACUAGGGGGUGCUUCCAUCUGGAAGAAUCUGGAGACAGGUGCUGCAUGGCUGUCGUCAGCUCGUGUCGUGAGAUGUUGGGUUAAGUCCCGCAACGAGCGCAACCCUUGCCUUUAGUUGCCAGCAGCUCGGCUGGGCACUCUAAAGGGACUGCCGGUGUUAAACCGGAGGAAGGUGGGGAUGACGUCAAGUCCUCAUGGCCUUUAUGACCAGGGCUACACACGUGCUACAAUGGCCGAUACAAAGGGCAGCGACACUGCGAGGUGAAGCCAAUCCCGUAAAAUCGGUCUCAGUCCGGAUUGGAGUCUGCAACUCGACUCCAUGAAGUUGGAAUCGCUAGUAAUCGCGCAUCAGCCAUGGCGCGGUGAAUACGUUCCCGGGCCUU